UUAUGAACUUGUUUAUACCAUCAAACUUGAGGGGGAGUAUUGAAGAAGGUAUCACUUGAACAAUGUGGCAUUCAUGUAAUUAGUAACAACUAGAUGACUAAUUAGUUAAAGUAGUUAUAGUGUUAGUUAUUGUUUAUAUAUAUACAUUGAUGUAAAUAGAAAGUACACAUUGAAAAUACAUAUACAACUCUUAUUUCUUCUCCGUUCUGAAUUCUUCUUCUUCCUCUGCAUCUUCAUCUUCUCUUCUUCCUCUCUUCUUUAUGCUGCUUCUAUUCUGAUUUACUGCACACACCUCAACUAUUCAUGCAUUAAUAUUUCGAUUUUCACUUUUCACUGUUGUAGAUUUGGGUGAGAAUACAAAGUUCUUUAAUGAGAAUUUUAUUAUCAACGAAAAAAGUAAUUAACUUAAUUAUAAAGUGUUAAUUCAAAAAUAUAAACUAUUGAAUAAUUGAGCUAAUUAAUUUUUUUAGAUGAUUUUUGAAUAUUCAUAAACUACACUAAUUAAAUACAUAAUUAUGUAAACACGUAUAUAUUACUUAAAAAUCAUAAGAAGUGAAAAAAAACUAUAUAAAAAUUAACUUGAAAAAUACUUAAUUUUAUGAAGCCAAUUAUUACAAAUCAUUUCAAAUUUAAAAAGCUCGCUGAUUAAUAUAUCGUGUAUGGUCAAAAUUGAGUGUCAACACUUACUUUAAAAUUUAAGUCCCUUAUCUAAUUCUAAAUUUUUAAAUGACCAUAUAUUUCUUUCAAACUUAGAGAGAAUUAUAUUUCCUUUCCCGGCAUGAACUCCUCCAAAUAAGUCCAUUUGACACUUUUACUUCUUUAAUAAAAAUUAGAUCAUCCUUGUAUUAAUUAAUUUAAUUAAUAGCGUUGAUAAAGAUAUAAAAGAGCUCCAAAGGUCAACUUUAAGAGCAUUUUGUGGGAAAUUAUAAUAAAUAAUAUAUUUGUAUCAAUUUUAAUAGUUUAAACAUAUUUUAAGCCUCGUUCGAAUUUUAAAAAACACUUCUGAGCAAACUAUUGUUUGGCCAACUUUUUAAAUAAUUGGUUCUUCAAAGCAUGUUUCAUAAAACUCUUAAAAUCAACUUAUUUUUAAGAAAUAUUUAUUCAAAAUUCUUUUUCAGAAAAUCUAUUAUCUUUUACAUGGAAAGAAGACAUGAUAUACCCCUCAAAUUUACGAUUCUUAUGAAAAAGUAUAAUAAAAAAAAAAAUAUUUGAACAUAUAGGAUUUGUUGUUACAAUUAAUAGUUUUCAGUAUUCUUCCUAUUGUCGCUACAAUAAAUUAUUCUUUGAACAAUUAUUAUUAAUUGUAGCAAAGAAUCUAAGAAAACUAAAUAAAUUAUACUUUGUACACCUAAUAUUUGGUUCUACAUUUAAUAGUUUACCAUAUUAUUCAUGUAUAUAUUUGUUGUUACAAUUAAUAGUUUUCCAUAUUAUUCAUAUGUAUAUAUUUGUUGUUACAAUUAAUAGUUUUCCACAUUCCUCAUAUAUAUUGGCUUCAAAACUAAACUUUCUCAGUUUUUCGAAUGGCUUCAUAUUCUCCACCUUUGGAGAACCUAUUCGUCUAUUUCUAUGGGUUGACUCGAUGAAGUCGUUAUCAAGCUUUAUGGACCAACAUGAUGGAAAGAAAAAUCACUAGAGCCCCAUGAACUCAAUCCGAAUCACAUGAAACGAGAAAAAGAGAAAAAAAGUAGUAUUCAUGCUGAAAAUGAUGAAGCUCAUGAAUAAGGCAGAAUUAAACAAUACAUUUGGAUAGUAGCCUGAAUAUACAUAUUUCAAUCUAAACCAAAUAUUUUUCGGGAUAAACAAGAUACCAAGCUAACAACAUAUGACUUAAAAAUAAAAAUCUAUGAAUCACUACCAUUUUAAAGAGGAAAACGCAAAAUCUAACACCACGGGGGCAUAUUUAUGAAUAGUUUAUACACAAAAGCUUUACCAUGUACAAGCGUGAGCCUAUUUUAAGCAACACAACCAAACAAAGAUAGAUGCAUGCUUAAAUACAUCUUACUAACAUUAAGAGAAUGAAGCAUCAGACUAAGGAUGCUCCUUCAUGCACAUACAGAAGCGGCCAAAACCAUGACAAUACAGUAGAACAAACAAAUGAAUACACAAGCAGAGGUGGACUGUCAUACCUUACGAGUCCAAACAAGAAAAGUGUAGAAAUUACCAUCUUUGGCGUUUAGAAAGUCAAUUGAGAGAGUAUCAUGGUGGACUAUCGGAGUUAGAUUUAGCAAGAGAUACGACAAACGAGAAUUCGAGUAGACCAGCAAAGAAACAAUCGAGUUAGCUGAUGAAUCCUUCUGGGAGCAGCGUGACUUGGACAAAACGAGCUUGAGAGCAACGACACACCAAACCGAACUACGACAACAGAAGCUAAGCCAAAACUUCCGAUUUUGAACACGGACUAGUGAGACGAGCAGGGAAAUAACUUUAUCGAAUAUCCAACCCCUCCACCUUAGACGUGAAUCUCUAUAUAUUAUCUUAGUUAUUUUCUUAAGCCAACUCUUAAUAUUUCUUACUCAAAACUCCUAUAGAAUAACAAAAAGCCACUCUUUCCGCUAUUUCCACGUCUCUCCCCGAAGAAAUUCUCCUCUCUUUUCCCUUUUUCGAUUUUAUCCAAAAAAAAUCAAAACCCAAAAGAAAACCUCUCUAAUAUAUUUUCUUUCAAUGCUGCUGUCCUCUUUUCUCUUGUUAGUUCAGAGUUUAUCCCCGACUCCCAAAAAAACCCUUUAGCCGAGGAGAACAAAACAAUAUAUAGAAGGUUCAUUAGGGUUCCAAAUUUCUGUGAAAUACCGGAUCAACCCCUGGUCUUACCCCAUAAUUUGAAAUUCAAAUCCUUGCACCAAAAAGGGGAGACCACCUUUUCUUGGGAAUUUUAACCCAUUCACAAAGAGGAAAAAGGAAAUUGACGCUUCAGAUCGAUUGGUUCAUCCUCUCGACCAUGCGUGGCUCAAUCUCACGCCACAAGGACGGAAACGCAUGCCCGCCUACUACUUUAUACUGCUAGUCGUACACCAUGAGAGGGACGAUGGGGAAGAGGAGAGCGAAGAACAAGCUGUCCAUUGUGUCUCUCUGAUCACGUCAAGGGAUUUGGACUUGGGAAAUUAGGAGAGAAAAUGGGCUGGACCGGGUCAAAAAUUGGGCUGGACCGGGUCAAGAAUUGGGCUGGGUUUGAUUGGAAUUAAAGGGGAGAUGGUUUGCUGAAAAAUAAGAGGCCCAAAAUGGUGCCUAAAUGGAUUAAAUAUUUGCUAACUAGAUGAAAUUAAUUAAUAUAAAUCAAUUAAAUAAGCUUCUUAACUUUAACGAAAUAAAAUAAUCGAUGAAAUUAAGACAUAAUUAAGUAAAAAAUGCAAACUAUUUAAUGGCCAAUAAAAUAUUUAAACACAAC
rnacentral:lncRNA from 1 species